AGAACGAACGCUGGCGGCAUGCCUAAUACAUGCAAGUCGAACGAACACUUCGGUGUUAGUGGCGCACGGGUGAGUAAUAUAUCGGAACGUGCCCAGUCGUGGGGGAUAACGUAGAGAAAUUUACGCUAAUACCGCAUACGAUCUAAGGAUGAAAGCGGGGGACCGUAAGGCCUCGCGCGAUUGGAGCGGCUGAUAUCAGAUUAGCUAGUUGGUGAGGUAAUGGCUCACCAAGGCGACGAUCCGUAGCUGGUCUGAGAGGAUGAUCAGCCACACUGGAACUGAGACACGGUCCAGACUCCUACGGGAGGCAGCAGUGGGGAAUAUUGGACAAGUGGGCGCAAGCCUGAUCCAGCCAUACCGCGUGGGUGAAGAAGGCCUUCGGGUUAGU
rnacentral:rRNA from 1 species